rnacentral:rRNA from 1 species
AUCAGAAGUGCGAAUGCUGACAUAAGUAACGAUAAAGCGGGUGAAAAGCCCGCUCGCCGGAAGACCAAGGGUUCCUGUCCAACGUUAAUCGGGGCAGGGUGAGUCGACCCCUAAGGCGAGGCCGAAAGGCGUAGUCGAUGGGAAACAGGUUAAUAUUCCUGUACUUGGUGUUACUGCGAAGGGGGGACGGAGAAGGCUAUGUUAGCCGGGCGACGGUUGUCCCGGUUUAAGCAUGUAGGCUGGUUAUCCAGGCAAAUCCGGAUAAUCAAGGCUGAGGUGUGAUGACGAGGCACUACGGUGCU